CUUCCGUAGGGGGACCUGCGGAUGGAUCAUUAACGUCAUUGAAAGUAACGGACGCAAGUCUGUUAUCUUUUAAUAAUGUACACCCUUGUGGUGAAUAUAGGAAAUUUACAUUAAUAGUUAUUGGUAGGCAUGUUUCCUUUGGGAGACGUGUAUGCCGAUGCUAUUAGUAUUAAAGACACUAUUUUAUUAUAAUUACUGAAGUAACCUUGUGAAUCUAAAGCAUUAUAUUUUAUUAUAAUUGAUUUAUUACCAAGUAAAACAAUAAUUAAUCUUAUACAACUGCUAGCAACGGAUCACUCGGCUCUCGCGUCGAUGAAGAACGUAGCGAACUGCGAAAAUUAAUGCGACCCGCAACACGUGGUCAUCGAGAUCUUUGAACGCAUAUUGCACCCGACAGGUUCACUUGUCGGGUCUGCCUGUCUGAGUAUCAAUACGGACCCAACCAGUAAAUAAUAUUUGUUGAGUUGGUGCUCAUUAACAGUACACUUGUGUAUUGUUAGUGGAUUUGAAUAUUCAAUUACCAUUUGUUAAUUGAUUAUUUGAAAUGUAUUGGUAUUUAGUCAAUCAGUUGAUAAUUGCCAACAGCUAUUCAGCAUUGUUAAUCAUCUUUUAUUAGGUGUUCAUUGCUCUACAAGUCGUUGGAAUCACGAUUAUUAACCAUUGUGUAAAAGCAAUGUAGUAUUGGCCAGACCAAAAAGCACACUUUCUACUAACUAAACACUAGUAGACAAGAGUACACUUUUUAACCAUCUUGAUCUCAGAUCAGGCAGGAUGACCCGCUGAACUUAAGCAUAUCAAAAGGCCGGAGGA
rnacentral:rRNA from 1 species